AUUGAACGCUGGCGGCAUGCCUUACACAUGCAAGUCGAACGGCAGCGGGGGAGAAGCUUGCUUUUCCUGCCGGCGAGUGGCGAACGGGUGAGUAAUACAUCGGAACGUGCCCUGUAGUGGGGGAUAACUAGUCGAAAGAUUAGCUAAUACCGCAUACGACCUGAGGGUGAAAGUGGGGGACAGCAAGGCAUCAUGCUAUAGGAGCGGCCGAUGUCUGAUUAGCUAGUUGGUGGGGUAAAGGCCUACCAAGGCGACGAUCAGUAGCUGGUCUGAGAGGACGAUCAGCCACACUGGGACUGAGACACACCCAGACUCCUACGGGAGGCAGCAGUGGGGAAUUUUGGACAAUGGGCGAAAGCCUGAUCCAGCAAUGCCGCGUGUGCGAAGAAGGCCUUCGGGUUGUAAAGCACUUUUGUCCGGAAAGAAAUGGCUCUGGUUAAUACCUGGGGUCGAUGACGGUACCGGAAGAAUAAGGACCGGCUAACUACGUGCCAGCCGCCGCAGUAAUAC
rnacentral:rRNA from 1 species